UAUGAACUGUGCAAACGUUAUUCGGAUUCACUGGGCUUAAAGGGUGCGUAGGCGGCCAUGUAAGUAGGGUGUGAAAUCCCCCGGCUUAACCGGGGAACUGCGCCCUAAACUGUAUGGCUGGAGUGAGAUAGGGGUGUGUGGAACUUCCGGUGGAGCGGUGAAAUGUGUUGAUAUCGGAAGGAACGCCGGUGGCGAAAGCGACACACUGGGUCUCAACUGACGCUGAGGCACGAAAGCCAGGGGAGCGAACGGG
rnacentral:rRNA from 1 species